CCAAGAUUUAGCUAUUACAAAUUGUGUUGCUAUAAACUUGAGUGUGCGUAUAUCACUGUAGUAUAAUGCUUUUAACUCUUUUGGGAAGAUACGCAGAAGAAUAUCUGGGUGAAAUGGAACCUGUAGUUUUAGUUUUUUGAGGAAUCACUUAUAUAAAGGUUUUCAACUCCAUAUUCUGAGCUUCAGAAUAAUUAUCCAUGGUGGUUUCAUCUUCUGGUCUCUUGGUUUCAUCCUCUAAGUCAUCUUCCUUUCAUGUAAGGUACCACAUAUCUGCACCUAAAUAAUUUUCUGAGCCGGCUUCCUGCUGGUAGAAAUGUGGUGGUCCAAAGCCCUCUUUCUUUUUGCACUUUCUUGAUUUCAGUCCAAGCUGGCAGUGUUUUUAGCAAUACAGUUCUCUUUAAAAAUUUGUGAGUCUUUUUUGAAUCCUGUUGGGUUUCAGUAAAUGAGACAAAAGCUGUACCCACAAAUCUGUUUGAGAUAUGUCUUUUUUUAUGCAGGGCCUCUGCUAAAAGACAAAGUCUUUAAGCUUCUUAGAAGUACUAUUGCUUGGAAGAGAGGAUCUAUGAGGCACACUCUGAAAAUCUUUAGAGGGUUUUUGAGAACUCUGAUAUACCACACUUACACAUUACUGGGAUGAAAUACUUCUGGGAUGAAAUAGAAGCCUAUGUCCCUGAAACUUUGGCACAUAAUCAGCCCCAGAAUGAUUUCCUUCAAGCUCUUAAAUGUGAGUGAGAAAAUUCUGUCUUGCUUAUAUCAUUAGUGGAGAUUUAACACUACUAAAUAACCUAAUCCUACCUAAUAUACCUUUAGUACUUUUGGAGGGAGGUCUGUGAAACUAAUAACAAACUAACUCAUGAAUAGAUUUUGUAGGAAAAACUGCAACUGCUGAAGAUUUGUGAUAAGUGAGACCAUGGAUAUGUCAAUAAGUUUCAUUUAAUCAUUCCAUAGUGUGUACACAUAUUAAAGCAACACAUUUUACCUCAUAAAUAUAUACAAUUGUGAGUUGUUCAUUUAAAAAUAAUUUUUAAAACCCUAAAAGUUUACAAGAUAUAAAUGAUAUAGAUGAGCUGGUAGUAUCAUUGAAGAAAAAUAAACAUUGCAACAUUUACUAAGCACCACAUAUACACUGAAUUCUUACAACCCUGGAAAAAUGAGAAAACUGACUCAGAAAGCAUAAGUAACUUAGUGUAAUAAAGAUAGAAUACGAAUUGGAUUGAUUCAUCUUUGAAGCCUACGCCAUUGCUCCCAAUGUAAUUUAUGUAGAAUUCAGGUUUCAUUAAUCCACAUGAACAAAUUUACUGAUAUGCUUAUUUUAAAAGAUAUUUUAAGUUGUGAGACUUUUUUGUGUUUUUUUUUUUGGUACUGGGGAUCGAACUCAGGACCUUGAGCUUGCAAGGCAGGCGGCGGAACCACUGAGCUAAAUCCCCUGCCCAGUUGUGGGGUUUUUUUGGAUAAUAUUUUCAAAAUGUUUUUCACUUGACAGGUCAUUUACAAGUUUAGUGUACUGGACUUAUGCAACUUUUAGGGACAUAAUACUUGAGAAAAGCUAGGAAAUAUCACUUCCUGUCUUUUCUUUUGCCAACAUUAUUUCAUCUGCAGGACGCAAAGAAUUUUCAGCAAAGAAUUGUGACGAAAGGCAGCUGAGUUCUUGUCCAUUAUUGAGGAGCAGAAAACAGGAAGCUUGAAAUGCCUUAGAAACAGGAGGGCGCAGAUAUUCAAAGGAUGGAUACAAGACAACACUGAAGUGGGGUCUGGCUACGGCGGAACAGAGCUUCGAAGAAAGAACAAAACAGAGCUGCAGGAAAGAGCUGGUAUGAAGCCUCAGUAUUCAUAUGUAGAGAAGAAAAAUCCUCUGAGUUUUCAGGAGAAAAAAAAGUCAGGAGAAAGAAAAGUUUGCAAGUUCAUCUGCAUAAUAAAAGAACGGAGCCUGGAGUUGAGAAAGAGAGAGACUUUACAUACUCUUUCACUGGGGGUUACCUUUCCCACUUUGAGGCUGCCAAAGGAGAUGACUAGGAAAAAAACCAUUUUAUGCAAGUUGCCAAACCAGUAUAACAUUCACAAGACUUCAUUACCUCCUUGUACAUCUUCUUCAGUUAUUUGGAGAAAGGAAAUGCUUUCUAACUUCUACCUGACAUUGUAUAAAGAAGUACCCGAAGGAUAUUUAUAUUCACAAGAAUUAAGUGGUUAAAAGAGAGUCGAGAAUUUCUUGAAUGAAUUUCCUGAUUAUGUACUUUCUUCACAAUAAAUCUAGUAUUGAAAGAAGAUUGUCAGCACUCUGCUGCAGCACUGGGACUGUGUGAGCAGCCAGCUCGCCUGUGGCCUGUGUGCGAGCGUGAGGUGGUGAUAUGUUUGGAAUUACUGCUCAGUCUUGUCAGCCAUCCCCAGAAAACUAUAGUUUCUUAACUUGUGACUACCAAAGAAUAAGCAGCAAUUUCAAGAAGGAAAACAAUCCAAAAGCUACAUUGUAGAAAAUCUGCCUUAUUGAAGAAGUCACUCCCCUUUCCCUUUUUUCUUUGUAGAAGCAGAAGUAAAAGUAUUCCACUUGGCUCCCAGGUUGAACCUGUACAAUAAAUGUACUCUUAGAACUGGA